rnacentral:rRNA from 2 species
UAUUUUAGUCUUGUUAGAGGAACCUGUUUUAUAAUCGAUAAACCACGAACAUCUCACUUAUUUUAAAUAACUUGUAUACCGUCAUUAUUAGAUAACUUUCAAAAAAUUAGUUAUUAAAAUUAAAUAAAAUUAAAUAUAUUAGAUCAAGGUGCAGUUAAUAAAUAAGAAAAAAUGGGUUACAAUAAAAUUUAUUUAAAACGAAUUAUAUAAAUAAAAAAUAUAUGAAGGAGGAUUUAAUUGUAAUUUUUUUAUAAGAUAAUAAUAUGAUAAUAGCUCUAAAAUAU